rnacentral:lncRNA from 1 species
ACAGCCAGGUCUGCCCGUGUCUCGUUUUUCUGUCUUUUUGGUCUCUCUCUCUGUCACCCCCUCCUCAGUGAGAAGUAAAAGGAAACACACACAUCCUCUCUAAUUACGGGAUCAAUUGUCUGUAAUUUGCAGAGAGUGUUCCGAGUUACGAAAAUGAAGAAAAUGAAGGUAAUACAUUUCUAAUUCUGUUCUUCUCUCCAGAAUUGUGAUGUCAUUUUUGAUGUCAUUUUUUGUCAAUGUUAUGUCAUCUUUUAUGUCAUCUGGUAUGUGAUUUGUCACGUGAGGAAAACACACAGGUAAGCAUUUCAUUGUACUCAGGUACGUGACAUCACUAUAAACUUGGGCUUGAACUGUUCAACCCACAGUCCAGUCAGUCCAGUCCAACCUGGAGAGUCUCAGACUGCUGUCAGUGUCAGUGGAGUCUGAUUAUAAUCCCAGUUCAGAACUCAUCCAGCUCCCAGUCCAGUCAGUCCAGUCCAACCUGGAGAGUCUCAGACUGCUGUCAGUGUCAGUGGAGUCUGAUUAUAAUCCCAGUGAAUCUCAGUUUCCAGUCUGACCCCUUGUCUCUCUGUCUCCCUGCUCAGCUGUGGAUGUUGGGGACUAUGUGAACGAGGAGGAUGAGCAGCCUGGAGAGGGAUACAUUGAAGUCCUGCCCGAUGCUCCGGCCCCAGUGUGUGGCAGUGUGUCCCAGCAGAGUCUGAUGUCAGCGGCCAGCUCAGCCAAUGAAAAUUACGUCAACUUGAAAGAAGACGAUGCCGCUAGUGAGAAUUUUGAAUCGAACAGUGGGAACUAUGUGAAUCUCGAGGAGGAGAAGGACGCUGUGCUGAGGACUGGAUCCUCACUGGACAACGUCAACGACAGUGAGGACGACGGCUCCUCAGACUAUGUGAAUGCUCCCCAGCAGCCCUUUCGGAUUAGCAGUUUGGACAGACACCACUUUGUCUGAGACGUGACGCCGGUGCUUCUUCAAGACUGGAGCUCCAUGACCAGGAAGUGACCAGCAGUGGUCCUGAAGUGAGGGGUCAUAUUUGGGUUUGAAGAAGGCAGGAGAGGAGGGAGGUGAGACAGUCAGACAGGCGCAGAUCUGCGCCGCGGGAGACCGCAGCGAGGGAGAGAGAGAGAGACGGCGCUCAUGUCCGCCAGCAGGGUGGGUCCGAGUCAUCUGGACACAGACUGGCCCGGGGUCAUCGCUCGUGUGCACAGGGCUCUGCUCCGGUACUGGUUUCAUCAGGCGCAGUGGGUCCUUCAGUCAUCUGGGUGCCAGCCCUUGUCCUGCAGGGAGACCGUAAGGAGUUCAGGACUGGACUCUGAGGAGCCUGACUGAACACCCCCGAGCCCCUGAAGGACUGGGGUCUCAGGGCCUGAGCUGAGCCCAGAGUCACAGUGACCUUUGACCCCUGACUCAGGGCCUGAGCUGAGCCAGUGACCUGUCUCUCUCUCUCUCUCUGGUCGGUGUUGUCGAAAGGGUGCAGAGUAUUUAAACAUUUGUUCAGCUACACAGAUGUGAACAUGACUGACACUCCUCCUCCUCUCCUGCUGUCUGGGUCUGGAGUCUGCUGACGUAUCCUGAGAAUGUUGUAGUGCUUUCUGCUCUCCUAUACUGUACGGACUUGUUUAGGUUGAUUUUUUAAAUUGCUUUCCAAGCUGAUUUUUUAAAGUUUUGCUUACUUUGCCUUUUUAUAGUUCAAAUUAUUGUCUUUCAUUCUAACUUUCAUAGUUUGUCCAGUCUUAAUGACUGGGCCAGCUCACAGGAGAGUACAGAUUCCAGAGAGUCUGAUAUUUAAAAUAAAAAAAUUCGGAUCAAUAGAAGUGUUUUCAUAUGUGUUCCUGAGAAUUAUUGUGUAAAAAUGGGCUUUGAGUCACCUCUGAAUUUUAACUGUUUGAUACUGUACUACUAAAAAAAUAAAACGUUCAAAGUCAAG